UACGGAGGAUGCGAGCGUUAUCCGGAUUUAUUGGGUUUAAAGGGUGCGUAGGCGGACUGUCAAGUCAGCGGUAAAAUUGAGAGGCUCAACCUCUUCCCGCCGUUGAAACUGGUGGUCUUGAGUGGAUGAGAAGUACGCGGAAUGCGUGGUGUAGCGGUGAAAUGCAUAGAUAUCACGCAGAACUCCGAUUGCGAAGGCAGCUUACCAAGCUACUUCUGACGUUGAGGCACGAAAGCGUGGGGAGCAAACAGG
rnacentral:rRNA from 1 species